rnacentral:rRNA from 1 species
AGAGUUUGAUCAUGGCUCAGAACGAACGCUGGCGGCAGGCUUAACACAUGCAAGUCGAACGAUAUAGUGGCAGACGGGUGAGUAACGCGUGGGAACGUACCUUUCACUACGGAAUAGCUCUUGGAAACGAGUGGUAAUACCGUAUACGCCCUUCGGGGGAAAGAUUUAUCGGUGAAAGAUCGGCCCGCGUUAGAUUAGCUAGUUGGUAGGGUAAUGGCCUACCAAGGCGACGAUCUAUAGCUGGUCUGAGAGGAUGAUCAGCCACACUGGGACUGAGACACGGCCCAGACUCCUACGGGAGGCAGCAGUGGGGAAUCUUGCACAAUGGGCGAAAGCCUGAUGCAGCCAUGCCGCGUGAAUGAUGAAGGCCUUAGGGUUGUAAAAUUCUUUCGCUAGGGAUGAUAAUGACAGUACCUAGUAAAGAAGCCCCGGCUAACUUCGUGCCAGCAGCCGCGGUAAUACGAAGGGGGCUAGCGUUGUUCGGAAUUACUGGGCGUAAAGCGCACGUAGGCGGACUUUUAAGUCAGAUGUGAAAUCCCGGGGCUCAACCUCGGAACUGCAUUUGAAACUGGAAGUCUAGAGACCAGGAGAGGUUAGCGGAAUACCGAGUGUAGAGGUGAAAUUCGUAGAUAUUCGGUGGAACACCAGUGGCGAAGGCGGCUAACUGGACUGGUACUGACGCUGAGGUGCGAAAGUGUGGGGAGCAAACAGGAUUAGAUACCCUGGUAGUCCACACCGU